rnacentral:rRNA from 1 species
UACGUAGGGGGCAAGCGUUGUCCGGAAUCAUUGGGCGUAAAGCGCGUGUAGGCGGCUGAGUAAGUCUGCUCUGAAAGCCCGGGGCUCAACCCCGGGAGGCGGGUGGAUACUGCUCAGCUCGAGUCCGGGAGAGGAGUGUGGAAUUCCUGGUGUAGCGGUGAAAUGCGCAGAUAUCAGGAGGAACACCAAUGGCGAAGGCAGCUCGCUGGGACGGUACUGACGCUGAGACGCGAAAGCGUGGGGAGCAAACAGG